AAAAUCCAAGAUAUACAAGAAUUCGAAGAAGUUCAUACACGCGCCGCCGUCACUGCCACUGCACUCGACCGUUCCAAAGAUCUCUCCUCCAAAACGCACUGCAUCGGCCUUCCUCCGAAUUCAAACUAAUCGCCACCAAUUCCAUGGCGAACGCCGGCGGCCUUCAUAAGCGAGCUCUUACCAGUCUCGCCGACCACGAUGGCGUCCUUGACGAGAUUCUGGCAAGGCUACCGGUCAAAUCACUGAUGCGAUUUCGCUGCGUCUGCAACUCAUGGCGUUCUCUCAUUUCACAGUCUCAUUUUGUCACCAAGCACUUCACUUACGCAAGCCAAGGCAUCACCGAGUCCACCUCAAGGCUCCUUUUCUCGACGAAUCCUGUCGAAUCCAUAGACUACGAAGCCUUGAAGGAUCUGAAUGAUGAAGAUUCUCAUCUUGCAAUUAGAAAGCUCAAGUUUCCGGUAAUGUUCCCUGAUUCAAGUAUUACAACAAUUAUAGGUUCUUGCAAUGGGCUGAUAUGCAUAGAUGUUGACCAGGAAGGGAUUGUGAUAUGGAACCCUUGUACUGGAGAAGCCAAUGUGUUGCCAAAACGUACUGAUGAUUGCAUACCGCAGUUUUGGGGAUUUGGUUAUGAUUCCACUCAUGAUGAUUAUAAGGUAGUGAGAGGGUACAAUUAUAGAGUUAGGGGUUCUAAGGAAACAGUGGUUCAGGUCUUUAGUUUAAAAUCAGGUUCAUGGAGGACCCAUGAGGGUCUCGGUUACUUUAACUUGGCAGGGCGGGGGUGCUUGUUAAACGGGGUUCUGCAUUGGUUAGAGACCACAUUCACUGAUUAUCAUCCGACAGGGUCGAGGAUUAUCUCAUUUGAUUUAGGGGAGGAGGAGUUUAGGGAGAUGCUUGCAUUGCCCUAUAAUGCCUGUUUUAGUUAUAUUUUUACUCUUGGAGAUUGUCUCAGUGUGUAUAGACUUGGCUUCCUACACAAUGAGACCACUGGUUUUAGAAUAUGGAUGAUGAAAGGGGUCAAGGAGUCUUGGACUGAGGUUAUAUCUUCAGAGAGUUUACCUGAAGAGUAUGAAUUAUCUCUCUUGACACCUCUGUGCAUUUUAGAGAACGGUGAAGUUUUGAUGGUUAAAAUAGAUAAUUAUCAGUCCUUGGUGUUAUAUAGCCCGAAGGAACAGAUAUUUAGGGUUGUUAUUAGGACGCAAAACAAAUGGAAGUUGGAUACAGCCAUUUACAGGGAGACUUUAGUUUCACCAGUAACCAGACGUGUUGCAGACAUCUGACAUUAUUUGUUGGGGAGCUAAUGUAUCAUCACUAUGAUCCUCAAGGAAAUCUCCAAAAUAUUUGAACCAAGCUGAAGUAAAAGGCUGCUAGAGGUUAACUGCCUAGUUGUAAUUCAAGUGAUGGCGGAGGACAUGGCAUCAAGGCUUGUGGCGGCGUUGGCUUUGACGGAGGACGCGGUGGUGGAUUUUGGGGAGGUUGGUUUGGUGGUGGUGAUGCAGGAAUUUUUCUACUUAGUGGGCCGUUUGAUUCAAAGGAAGGUAGGCAAUGAGAAGGGCCUUCCGAGCACUCUUUCGGCGAUUUGGGGACUUGGUGAUCACUUGGCCAUCUUAGCGGUGGGAGAGGGCCGAUAUCUGCUGUUUCGUUUUCGGUGCUGUGAUGAGUGCAAUAAGAUCCUGCAUGGGGAACCCUGGUUUUUCAAUAGGCGCAUGCUCUUACUUGGUGAGUAUGAUCCUGUAAGGUUGAUUACGGCAAACUAUGGUUUGGACGACCAAGUUUGACAGGAGGCAGCCAGUGUUGCUUUAGGCAUUAAGGGGUAAAUUUGGUAAAUAUAGAUAAUUAUUUAGCAAUUAGUAUACGUGUAACUUUGAAUAAUAUCAAAUUAUAGACAAAGCAGACUCAUGCACUUAGAAAACAAAGUCCUUUAUCUCCUUAAUGAUAGAUAUAACAUCGGUCUAUCUUUUGAACUCAUUC